AAGCAUUAUACGGCGAAACUGCGAAUGGCUCAUUAUAUAAGUUAUCGUUUAUUUGAUAGCACUUUACUACUUGGAUAACCGUGGUAAUUCUAGAGCUAAUACAUGCUAAAAAUCCCGACUUCGGAAGGGAUGUGUUUAUUAGAUUAAAAGCCAAUGCCCUCUGGGCUCUCUGGUGAAUCAUGAUAACCGCUCGAAUCGCAGGGCCUCGUGCCGGCGAUGGUUCAUUCAAAUUUCUUCCCUAUCAACUUUCGAUGUUUGGGUAUUGGCCAAACAUGGUUACAACGGGUAACGGAGGGUUAGGGCUCGACCCCGGAGAAGGAGCCUGAGAAACGGCUACUACAUCCAAGGAAGGCAGCAGGCGCGCAAAUUACCCAAUCCCGACACGGGGAGGUAGUGACAAUAAAUACUGAUACAGGGCUCUUUCGGGUCUUGUAAUUGGAAUGAGUACAAUUUAAAUCCCUUAACGAGGAACAAUUGGAGGGCAAGUCUGGUGCCAGCAGCCGCGGUAAUUCCAGCUCCAAUAGCGUAUAUUAAAGUUGUUGUGGUUAAAAAGCUCGUAGUUGACCUUUGGGCCUGGCUGGCCGGUCCGCCUCACCGCGUGUACUGGUCCGGCCGGGCCUUUCCCUCUGUGGAACCCCAUGCCCUUCACUGGGCGUGGCGGGGAAACAGGACUUUUACUUUGAAAAAAUUAGAGUGCUCCAGGCAGGCCUAUGCUCGAAUACAUUAGCAUGGAAUAAUAGAAUAGGACGUGCGGUUCUAUUUUGUUGGUUUCUAGGACCGCCGUAAUGAUUAAUAGGGACAGUCGGGGGCAUCAGUAUUCAAUUGUCAGAGGUGAAAUUCUUGGAUCUAUUGAAGACUAACUACUGCGAAAGCAUUUGCCAAGGAUGUUUUCAUUAAUCAAGAACGAAAGUUAGGGGAUCGAAGACGAUCAGAUACCGUCGUAGUCCUGACCGUAAACUAUGCCGACUAGGGAUCGGACGAUGUUAUUUUUUGACUCGUUCGGCACCUUACGAGAAAUCAAAGUGCUGGCU
rnacentral:rRNA from 1 species